rnacentral:pre_miRNA from 1 species
UCUUGAAGCAGGCUCUUCAUCUAACAUUCUGGAACACUUUUAAUCUCUAAAUUGUUUAAAUUGCAUUUGAGGUUUAAGGUGUUUGAGAAUGUUAGAUACGGAACCAGCUUACAAUU